GAUGGUGCCACCUGUCUUGGGAUGGAAGACAACAAAAUACUUGGAUCUGUUUGUGCUUGUCAAAGGAGCAGUCAGUCAUCUCUACCCCCAGUCUGUCAAGGGUGUCUUGUGUCUGGUUACUAUGAGUGUGUGUGUACCCUCACUCAACCAAUGGUCCCAGCACCUUCUAAUAGUUUUAUCAGAAUGGUUUGAGCCAAGAAAUUUGCAACUCCAAUAAUCCAGCCCCAUUCAAACUCUGUUAAUUUUGGUAAAUUCUCUUUGAUUGCAUUGCAGCAGCAUGUUUAGUGAUCAAAUAUCCCUCCACA
rnacentral:lncRNA from 1 species